AUGCCGGCCACGCCCCCAUCGGUUUCUCCUCCGACGAGUCCUACUCCACCUCCUACUCUCUCCCCGAGCCCUUCUCCUACCCCGGUCUAUCCCAGCCCCACUCCCACCACACCCGCGCCCCCACCGGCUUCUACCUCUACCCAGCCUCCACCUGCCACUGGGCUCAAGGUCGGCUACUACAAUGACAAGUGCCCUGACGCGGAGAAGAUCGUGCUGGACGCCGUGCGCAACGCCACCGCCGGCGUGAAGGCCGGGCUCAUCCGUCUCUUCUUCCACGACUGCUUUGUCCAGGGUUGUGAUGCCUCUGUCCUCCUGAACAAGGUCGUUGGCAAGCCUGAACCGGAGAUGCUUGGUAUCCCAAACUUGAGCCUGCGUGGCUUCGAAGUGAUAGAGGCGGCCAAGAAGAAGAUCGAGGAAAAAUGUCCUGGUGUCGUCUCCUGCGCCGACAUCGUCGCCUUCGCAGGCCGUGACGCCAGCAAGUUACUCAGCGGCUACAAAAUAAACUUCAGCAUGCCGGCCGGCCGCUAUGACGGAUGA
rnacentral:rRNA from 1 species